rnacentral:rRNA from 1 species
UACGUAGGUGGCAAGCGUUGUCCGGAUUUAUUGGGUUUAAAGGGUGCGUAGGCGGUUCUAUAAGUCAGUGGUGAAAUCCGGCAGCUCAACUGUCGAUGUGCCAUUGAUACUGCAGAACUUGAGUACAGACGAGGUAGGCGGAAUUGACGGUGUAGCGGUGAAAUGCUUAGAUAUCGUCAAGAACACCUAUUGCGAAGGCAGCUUACUAAACUGUAACUGACGCUGAGGUACGAAAGCGUGGGGAUCAAACAGG